rnacentral:lncRNA from 1 species
UUGAAAAUUCUGAAAUGGAAGAUGCAGAAAAUGGACUGUCCGCACAAGACUGCGUGUCAGUGGAACAAAAUGCUCAAGUAAACAGUGAUGAUCACUACAUGACUCAACUUGCAUAUGGAGGGGAAGGUUUGUCAGUAUUGAGUGAGCCAGUGGUGUCACAGAUGAGCCAUUCUACAAGUGUGCCAAGAGAUGGUCAGAACCCAGAAGAAAUGGAAUAUGUUUUUUUGCAUAAAAGACGACGACUUACCCCCUCUCUGGUGAGAAAUAGCAUGAUAAGAUCCAGGGAAACAGAAUAUGAAGAUGGUGGAAGUGUCAUUUAUGAAUAUGAACCAGAUUAUGAAUGUGUA